rnacentral:lncRNA from 1 species
GCCAAAUUGGCUAAUUUUUCUGAUGACAUUUGAGUAGGCAUUUGGAUGGGUUUUUCUGCUUCUUUUGCUUUUUGUUCUUUUUGAAGCAUUAUCUCAUAUCAUAUUUUUGGUUUUGAUGGUUUGGGUGUAGAAAUUUGGCUAGGAUUUAGACUAAGUCUAGAUGGUUGAGCAUAGGCUUCUUUAGUUUGUUUUUUGGUAGAAGAACUGGCUCAUAGGUGCAGCCCGUAGAAAUUUUCAGGAUAAGAAAUCAGAUAGAAAAUUAUUUUUUCUUAUUUUAAAUUCUAUUUCAAAAUCA